rnacentral:lncRNA from 1 species
GGCACUUGCAACUUUAUUGCGCCAGCAAGAACAUGCAUACAGCCCAGUCUAACGUACAGGAUCAAAAAGAGACCUUAUUUCGGCUGGCAAUUACCUUACCCGCUUGUUCAUUAUCUGACUCCUGCACUCCUCCCAAGUGUUCAAUGUUAACCAGAUGGCAAAGUUAACCAGACAGAGGAAAUCCACAUAAUUACUCUAGAUGAAGCCCCCUAACUGCGGAUUAGAAGGAAAAGAGAUGAAGGGUGCUGCACUAAUAAUAACAACCAUUUUCAACCAAGGCAGGAUUCUGGGCCUAGAAUCUUCAGUGACAAAUUACCAGGAGAGGAGGAGGGAAAUGAAGAGCUGGAGGCCUAGGGAGAUGGUGUGAGGAGAGGAGACUGUGCCUUUCCACUUCUUAAUAAUUAAUGUUCUCCUGCUGCUCUGAGUCUGCAUCACCAGUGAUUCAGUUUGAGUCAGACAUCCAACAACAACUGAGCAAAAGAAUCAUCUCAGAUCCAAGCAAUGGUGACGCGCAGAUAGAAGAGACUGAGGCCAACGACCAAAGCAAAGGACAGCAGAACUGACUGACACAGCUCAGAAAAUAUCCAAAGCUCUGUAUGCUCUGGAAAGGAAGACAAGAAAUGCUAAAGACUCUGGAUAUUGCUCUGUUUCUAUAAGGUCCCACCCAUAUACCAUCUCUUCUUUUGGAUUUCCUUUGGCAGGGUUCCCUUGUAUGGAAGUUCUCAGGAGAACAACACUCUCAGAGUCCCACUGUCUCAAAGAAUUCUUAAUGGACAGCUAUACUUGGCCCCAAGGUUUCAACCUCACACUGAAGAAAGUGACAUAAGAAAACACAAGUCCCAGUGCUAUCAGGGGCUAUCUGGAAAAGCUGCUUAAACAGCAAGUGAAAGAAGGCUCUCCCCUACCCCGUUCUAGGUGAGGAACAGGUGGCUGGUGAGUUUUUAACUUGAUAGGAGAAUCUAAUAACCUCACCACCCAACAAUACUGAUAGCUUUCCUAUAUGUGCUGAAACUGUUGACAAUACCUAAAGGGAACAGCCUUAGAGAGUGCAGAGCAGGGAAAGUUUAUAUGUGUUUGCUAGUUAUAAAACAGAUGGCACUGUUUUCAUAGUCCAGUGAUACUGGGAGAUCAUAAAAUAAAAUGUCAAUGGCAAGACAGUGACAAUGGGGGCAGUGAGCCUGGCAAAUGGAGAUGAGCCUAAAGCUAAUUUGCUAGAAAAAAAUGACUUGAUUAGGUCAGGGAGGUGGAAGAACAACCAGUUUUGAGCAGAGAUUGUGCCACUGCACUCCAAAGUGGGCAACAGAGCGAGACUCUGUCUCCAAAAAAAAAGAAAAAAAUUAAAAAAAGAUACACAGGAUAUAUUAAGUGAAAAAUGGAUUAUU